rnacentral:rRNA from 1 species
GAUGAACGCUGGCGGCGUGCCUAAUACAUGCAAGUCGAGCGAACGGACGAGAAGCUUGCUUCUCUGAUGUUAGCGGCGGACGGGUGAGUAACACGUGGAUAACCUACCUAUCAGACUGGGAUAACUUCGGGAAACCGGAGCUAAUACCGGAUGAUAUUUUGAACCGCAUGGUUCAAAAGUGAAAGACGGUCUUGCUGUCACUUAUAGAUGGAUCCGCGCUGCAUUAGCUAGUUGGUAAGGUAACGGCUUACCAAGGCAACGAUGCAUAGCCGACCUGAGAGGGUGAUCGGCCACACUGGAACUGAGACACGGUCCAGACUCCUAAGGGAGGCAGCAGUAGGGAAUCUUCCGCAAUGGGCGAAAGCCUGACGGAGCAACGCCGCGUGAGUGAUGAAGGUCUUCGGAUCGUAAAACUCUGUUAUUAGGGAAGAACAUAUGUGGAAGUAACUGUGCACAUCUUGACGGUACCUAAUCAGAAAGCCACGGCUAACUACGUG